GAAGGUACCAUCUGUGCAGUCUGCAAUUUUGUUGAAGAAAGAUGUUGAAUCUAUUUAAUAUUUCUUGAAAAAUAAUUGAUUUCUGUGCAUUUUUUUUCACACUGCAUCAAAUUAAGGUUGAUUACGUCGAUUAAGCAUCAUGAGGUGGCGCGUGAGGGGUGGUUCCCUAUUUUUUAUUUAUUUAUUUUUGUUGUUGCUGGGAGUUGGAACCCUAUUAGUUAGGUUGCUUAAUAUUUACGCUAAGUACUCUUUAAAAUACCAGAAUAGGGAGGAUGGUGUAGGUCUAAGUUUAUUAGAUUGAUCAGUAUUGCUGAACUAUGAAAUACCAAUUGUUUGCUAGUUUAGUUUAGUUUUUAUUUUUUUGAAAAUCCUUAGUUUCAGUUUAGUUUUGAUUAGUUUCAGUUAUAGUUUUAGUUGUGUUUGCAAAAAUUAAGUGUAACAAAAUCCCAGUUUCAUCAUAUCUGUCAUGGUCCCGGGCCAUGUGGGCCCAGUAUUCUUAGUUCCUUGUAUUUUUGUAUUUCGUUCCUUAUUUAGGCCAUGUUUCCUGAUUGUCCUGUUGUGUUGUUCCCUAAGUGUUUUCCCUUCGUGACUCUUACCCCCUGUGUGCCCCUCUGUGUAUUUAUGAGCCCUCGUCUCUCUUUGUGUUUAUUCCAUGUUUCCCCUGCCCGUUAUGUCUGUGUUCUCUCUCCUCCUAUCUGAACCUCUGUACUUCCUGUUUUACUUUACCCGUCUCCCGUCGGUGUUGUGUUCACUCCUGCCGUGUCUCGUUAUGAUUAUCGGUGUCACCUGUGUUCCCCAUGUGCUUCCACUUCCCUCGUUAACCCUCUGUGUAUUUAGGUCUGCGUCUCCCUCAGUUCUGUGUCGUAGUCUCCCUCAUAGCUGUGUGAUUUUUCCCUGUGGCUCCUUGUACUUUAGUCUCCCCAGAUUAAGUUUAGUACUGUUUUAUGUGUUUCAGUUUAUGCCAGCAUUAAAGCUGUGUUUUGAGUUUACGUUUUUGUCUCUGUGAGUUUGCGUUUGGGUCCUCUCCUGCCUGCCACACAGCCGAAC
ensembl:lncRNA